CACACACGACAUGGGAUAGAAGCCUAGAGGACAGCUCUUCUUCAGAGAAUGAGGAUAAGUAUGUGGUGGGAAGGGUGUUGGACAGGCGCAACAGGCGCCCCUUGGUUAAGGGGCAAGUGGAAUAUCUGUUGAAGUAGAAAGGCUUUUCUGAGGAGCACAAUACUUGGGAACCUGAGAAGAACAUGGAUUGUCCUGAACGAAUUUCCGAGUUUAGGAAAAAGUAUAAGGAGAGGAAGAAGGGUGAGAACAACAAGCCCAGGGAGAAGUCAGAAGGAAACAAGAGGAAAUCCAGUUUCUCCAAGAGCCCUGAUGAUAUUAAAUGGAGAGAGAAGAGAGAGCAAAGCAAUGAUAGCUCGGGGCUUUGAGAGAGCACUGGAACCAGAAAAGAUCACUGGGGCAACAGAUUCCUGUGACGACUUAAUGUUCUUAAUGAAAUGGAAAGAUGCAGAUGAAACUGACCUGGUUCUUGCAAAAGACGCUAAUGUGAAAUGUCUACAAGUGGUGAUAGAUAGCAUUUAAUGAAGAAAGACUGGUGUGGCCUGCACAUCCAGAGGAUGAGGAAAACAAAGAAAACGAAGGCAGGAG
rnacentral:lncRNA from 1 species